ensembl:lncRNA MAP9-AS1 MAP9 antisense RNA 1
AAUGAUGACUCAUCUGAGAUGAGCAAGUUGGUCCAGUCAGACCAAACAAAAGACAUUCUAUAAUCAGGGGAGAAGUCUUCUCUAUAUCUCUCUUAUAUGAGCAAAUUUAAUGACCUCCACCAUCUCUAAGAACAAGCAGCUAUUUCUGUAGAGAAAGAUCAUCUUUGGAUAACAAUACAUGAUUUUAGGCUCUAAAAGUUAAAACGUGUUUGUAACGUUGAUAUUAUGCAGAGGUCUUGACAGAACUUGGCAGUCUCUGAGGCUACAGAGAAGUGUGAAAAAGAGCAUAGAGAUUUCAGAAGGAGGCAGAUUCAGUCAGACGUACUGAAUCCCGUUUGAUCUCAACUCAGGCACACUCCAGAUGGACGGAGCAGGAAAACCCUUAGUGAAACCUGCCUCUGCAGGUUGAUGGCUUGGGAGGAAAGGCAUUAUGGAAAAUGAUUAGUUUAUGGAAAAAAUAAAUAAACAAGACUGGUCAGAAAGACUGUGAAAGAAGAACUAUAAAGGGAGAUGAAUCCAAGCAGAUAUUUAGACAUAUCAAGCCUAAUAAUGGAAGUGUGGCACUGGAAUCACGAGACUGACCAAUGGAACAGAAAGUUAAGAAACAGACCCGAAAACAUGAGAAGAUGUGAGAAUCACAGCAAAGGAAGAAUGGGCAUGAAUAGUAAAUGGUAAAUGUGGGGAUGCAGUAUUGAACAGCACACUGGAGUUUUUGUCCAGAAGUUUGACUUUAGAAGAUAAGAAAUAACUGAGCGUAUUACAAGCAGGAGUUAGAGGAAGAGACUCAGUACAGAAGAGACAGGAACAAAAGUUCACCUCCAUUCAAUGGGAAAGGAUACAGAUCAAGAGUUCAGGAAAAGUAGGAGAAAGAAGCUCUAUUCCAGAAGCAGUCUGGAGCACAAAGAAUCCCUAAUCACUGACAUUAAGAAAGAAGAAAAAUAUUCCUAGGACGAUCCUGGAGAGCAAAG